UUCACUCAGCUAAAUCCAUUGCAACGAGCAUACCUGUGUUAGUGUAUCUGUAACCAUUGAUCCAGGGCACUAGGACUGUGCUUUGUUGACAAUAAACCUGCCGGAGCAGCUUCGCUACUGAAUGGAGUCUGUAGUCUUGUUAAGCAUUUCAAUUGGAGCCUGCUAUCUAUGUGGCCAGAGCCAGUGCAGCAUGCAGAGAGAACACACACAUGCAGCCAACAACUGAUGACACUGGUGACCCUGACUGCUGAUCUGGUAAGUAGGCGAGCUGUCCUCUGUAGGAAUCAAGAUCUAACAUGGCAGAAAAGCUACAAGCUAGGGAACCCCCUUAUCUUCCUCCCUGCAAAUUCCCACAGAGUUUGAUAAGGUAUGAUGUCACGCUGGGGUGCCAGCAAAGGAGGUCCAUUUGCAUUUUAAAAAGAUAGUGGGGAAGAAACAUGGAAUGGAAUCUGUAAGGCUAGGGCAGAGACUGUAGCCUUGGAAAAUAAGAGUAAGAAAUGCCCCACAUGCCACAAAACUGGUGGGGCAACCAACAGGAAAAAAAGAGUAAAAAGAAGUAAGAGAAGCAACAGAGCUCUGGAACUCCCCUGCUCCUCUAGCAGGGCAGCAAGCAGUCCAGAGACAGUAUACAUUACAGCAAGCACAGGAACAGAAAAAAAAACAUUGGAAACAGCUGUAAAGAAUCUGCACAAAAGAGAAGUAUCAUCCCUGUUAUAAAUAUUGAUGGUCAACAACUGGCUUCAGGUACCUGUAUAGUGCCUGAAGAAUGGGACAGAAAUGGAAAAAGUCUGUCCAAGCAAAAUGAAAAGAUGUAACAUGGAACAAUUGGAAUGGGUGCUGCAAUUGGGACAUUGGGAAUGACUCAUACCAGCCACCUAACAACCCAUGGGCAGGGGCCACUGCAUUGCAACUACCACCAUACGAUAAAAGCAAGGUUUUGGUAAAACCUAAACCACAACUUAGACUGGUGCCUGUAAGAACAUGAAAAGUAAGUGCACAGGAGGGAGGAAUAGUAAACAAUGCUUUCUCUGGAUUGGUAAAUCAGAUAAAGGAAAAAAUGGAGUCAUUCACAGAGCACAUUACAAGACAAGGGCUGUGACUUGAUCACAGGGGAGUGGAUAGAAAACCAAUUUUAAAGUGAAAACCCAAGAGUCAGUGGAUUAACACCUAGAAGUGAUGCAUUAACACAUGGAGUUGCCCAGAAACAGUUAACUGUAACAGGCAAGGGCAUUCCUGCAAUCCAUUUGGCAUGCAGACAAAAGCAACAGACACUGGGGGAACAAAUUCACAUUUUGCAAAAGCAGGUAACAAUCCCCGCUCUCCUCUCAGAGCCAGGAUAAAAACCAGAGGUAUGGGUUCCCAACUGCUUUAAUCCAGGGAGCCUCACUCAGAGCUAAUAAUAUAACCUUCUUUCUCAUAUAAUUUUACAUAAAGAUUGCUCUUCUCCCCUCCCUCUCCUCACUUCUGCUCUCUGUUUUAAAAGUUAAAAGUUAUGGUUAUUACAGAAACCACCAUUGC